rnacentral:rRNA from 1 species
CACGCCGUAAACGGUGGGCACUAGGUGUGGGUCACAUUCCACGUGAUCCGUGCCGCAGCUAACGCAUUAAGUGCCCCGCCUGGGGAGUACGGCCGCAAGGCUAAAACUCAAAGGAAUUGACGGGGGCCCGCACAAGCGGCGGAGCAUGCGGAUUAAUUCGAUGCAACGCGAAGAACCUUACCUGGGUUUGACAUAUGCCGGAAAGCUGCAGAGAUGUGGCCUCCCUUUGGGCCGGUUUACAGGUGG